UACGAAGGGGGCUAGCGUUGCUCGGAAUUACUGGGCGUAAAGGGCGCGUAGGCGGAUUGCACAGUCAGAUGUGAAAUUCCUGGGCUUAACCUGGGGGCUGCAUUUGAUACGUGUGAUCUAGAGUGAGGAAGAGGGUCGUGGAAUUCCCAGUGUAGAGGUGAAAUUCGUAGAUAUUGGGAAGAACACCGGUGGCGAAGGCGGCGACCUGGUCCUUGACUGACGCUGAGGCGCGAAAGCGUGGGGAGCAAACAGG
rnacentral:rRNA from 1 species